rnacentral:rRNA from 1 species
AUUGAACGCUGGCGGAAUGCUUUACACAUGCAAGUCGGGCGGCAGCACGGGGGCAACCCUGGUGGCGAGCGGCGAACGGGUGAGUAACACAUCGGAACGUACCCUAUCGUGGGGGAUAACGGAUCGAAAGAUUCGCUAAUACCGCAUACGACCUGAGGGUGAAAGCGGGGGAUCGCAAGACCUCGCGCGAUAGGAGCGGCCGAUGGCGGAUUAGCUAGUUGGUGGGGUAAAGGCUCACCAAGGCGACGAUCCGUAGCGGGUCUGAGAGGACGGCCCGCCACACUGGAACUGAGACACGGUCCAGACUCCUACGGGAGGCAGCAGUGGGGAAUUUUGGACAAUGGGGGCAACCCUGAUCCAGCCAUUCCGCGUGAGUGAAGAAGGCCUCGGUUGUAAGACUCUUUCGGUCAGGAACGAAAAGGACGUACUCUCUAACAUAGGGGU